rnacentral:rRNA from 1 species
UACGUAGGGGGCAAGCGUUAUCCGGAUUUACUGGGUGUAAAGGGAGCGUAGACGGCAUAGCAAGUCUGAAGUGAAAGCCCGUGGCUCAACCGCGGAACUGCUUUGGAAACUGUUAAGCUGGAGUACUGGAGAGGCAAGCGGAAUUCCUAGUGUAGCGGUGAAAUGCGUAGAUAUACGGAGGAACACCAGUAGCGAAGGCGGAUUGCUGGACAGUAACUGACGCUGAGGCGCGAAAGCGUGGGGAGCAAACAGG